rnacentral:rRNA from 1 species
UUNUGAACUGGGUGACUAGAGUGUGUCAGAGGGAGGUAGAAUUCCACGUGUAGCAGUGAAAUGCGUAGAGAUGUGGAGGAAUACCGAUGGCGAAGGCAGCCUCCUGGGAUAACACUGACGUUCAUGCCCGAAAGCGUGGGUAGCAAACAGGAUUAGAUACCCUGGUAGUNCACGCCCUAAACGAUGUCGAUUAGCUGUUGGGCAGCAUGACUGCUUAGUAGCGAAGCUAACGCGUGAAAUCGACCGCCUGGGGAGUACGGUCGCAAGAUUAAAACUCAAAGGAAUUGACGGGGACCCGCACAAGCGGUGGAUGAUGUGGAUUAAUUCGAUGCAACGCGAAGAACCUUACCUGGUCUUGACAUGUACGGAACCCUCCGGAGACGGAGGGGUGCCUUCGGGAGCCGUAACACAGGUGCUGCAUGGCUGUCGUCAGCUCGUGUCGUGAGAUGUUGGGUUAAGUCCCGCAACGAGCGCAACCCUUGUCAUUAGUUGCCAUCAUUAAGUUGGGCACUCUGAUGAGACUGCCGGUGACAAGCCGGAGGAAGGUGGGGAUGACGUCAAGUCCUCAUGGCCCUUAUGACCAGGGCUUCACACGUCAUACAAUGGUCGGUACAGAGGGUAGCCAAGCCGCGAGGUGGAGCCAAUCUCACAAAACCGAUCGUAGUUCGGAUUGCACUCUGCAACUCGAGUGCAUGAAGUCGGAAUCGCUAGUAAUCGCAGGUCAGCAUACUGCGGUGAAUACGUUCCCGGGUCUUGUACACACCGCCCGUCACACCAUGGGAGUGGGGGAUACCAGA